rnacentral:rRNA from 1 species
GACGAACGCUGGCGGCGUGCUUAACACAUGCAAGUCGAACGGAAAGGCCCUGCUUUUGUGGGGUUCUCGAGUGGCGAACGGGUGAGUAACACGUGAGUAACCUGCCCUUGACUUUGGGAUAACUUCAGGAAACUGGGGCUAAUGCCGGAUAGGAGCUCCUGCUGCAUGGUGGGGGUUGGAAAGUUUCGGCGGUUUGGGAUGGACUCGCGGCUUAUCAGCUUGUUGGUGGGGUAGUGGCUUACCAAGGCUUUGACGGGUAGGCGGCAUGAGAGGGUGACCAGCGACCAUGGGACUAAGAUACGGCGCAGAAGCGAACGGGAGGCAGCAGGCGAGAAUCUUGCACAGUGAGCGGAAGUGUGAUACAGCAACCCCGCGUGCGGAAUGACGGCUUACGGGUUGUAAACCGAUGUCUACGGUGCCGAAGAGGGAUUGACGGUAAUGAGUAAAGAAGCACCGGCUAACUACGUG